rnacentral:tRNA from 1 species
GCCUCCUUAGCUCAGCGGAUUAGAGCGCCUGUCUUCGGAACAGGAGGUCGUAGGUUCGAAUCCUGCAGGGGGCACCA